rnacentral:lncRNA from 1 species
UCUAGUGCAUGCCAAAACACCAAUCUAACUCUACAUUUCAAUAGCACCCUUGCCAUGUGGUCUGCCACUUUUAUUGUACUUAACCACAGGCUUAAUCUUCUGAAUUUUCCUCUUCACAACACGACUCAUUGUGUUGAUACCGCGAGUUGAUUUCGUCACUUCAUCAAAUGUCGUAGAGUUUGGGUCUUUCUCGGAAGAUGAAGUAAAUCUCAUCUUCUUUGUGGGAUUGCUUGGAACAGAUUUGGAUUCACCCAUUUAUGCCUUUGAAACUGCAAUGUCCUUG